rnacentral:tRNA from 2 species
GGCUUUUUCUUUUGGAAAGUGGUUAUUUUGAACUUAACUUAAAGGUGUUCGACUCACCUAAAAGCUU